GCCCGCAUAGCCUUGUAGUUAAGGUGUUCGAUUCACAAUCGUUCACUCCGGGUUCGAGUCCCCGUGGGGGCU
rnacentral:tRNA from 1 species